AAAACGACUCUCGACAACGGAUAUCUCGGCUCUCGCAUCGAUGAARAACGUAGCAAAAUGCGAUACUUGGUGUGAAUUGCARAAUCCCGUGAACCAUCGAGUUUUUGAACGCAAGUUGCGCCUAAAGCCAUUAGGUUGAGGGCACGUCUGCCUGGGCGUCUCGC
rnacentral:rRNA from 1 species